UGUUCUCUUUGUAGACAUUUCGUAUCUUUGACAUUGAAACGAAGAAGAACUUGUUCAUCCAUCAACUACAGUUCUCAUCCGACACCAAAAAUUAUCUUGGGGAGGAUUAUUAUUAUAUUUCUCCAAGAUGGUUCAUCUAUGAAAGUUCACUCUUUAUUUGGCAUAGUCUUCCUGCAAAAGAAGCAAAUGAGAACAUCUAACCUAUCAAAUCAUUCAGGUACAAGUCUUUGUUUCCUUUCCAAGUAAUUUUCUUUAUGUACUCGUAUUAUUAUAUGUGCCCAUUCAUUUGUAAUUUUAAUUUUGUGGACUUGUUAAUGAAUUGGUAAUGUCACAUUGGUUUCGGUAAGAACCCAUUAUCAGAUAUUAUCCUCUUUAACUCGUUACGUAUCGUCAUUAGCUUUACGAUUUUAAACGUGUCUACUAGGGAGAGGUUUUUACGCUUUUAUAAGGUAGGUUUCGUUUCCUUUUCGAACCGAUGUGGGAUCUCACAAUCCAUCUCUUUUGGAGCCCAAUAUCCUCACUAGCCCACUAUCUAUUUACAUGCCAAUAAUGAACUAGGAAGAGUUUGGCUAAGUACAUGAGAACGGUGUCCCAUGUCAUUAAUAGACUUCGGCAACAUAGGCCCGAUCGGGUUCAUCUCAUGAAAAGUGGUUGAACAUGAAGCCAUAAAGAAAUGAAGGUUGUAGUUAUGGGUA